CGUCGGUCCCCCCGCGACGAUAGUUCGCAAACUCCGCCAGGUCCGGAAGGAAGCAACGGUAGCGAAUGACUCGGGUGCCGGGGUGUGGCUGGCGGGG
rfam:Rhodanobacter sp. SCN 67-45 ABS82_C0053, whole genome shotgun sequence.